CCUGUGCCAGCUGCUCCCCGGCCCGGGCCCGUUCCUGCUCCAGAGUCUUCCGCUGUUCCCGCAGCUGGUCCCGCUCCUGCUCCAGCUGCCACCAGGUGUCGGGGGCUCUGCAUCCACUCCCCCCAUCCUCGGUCCCUGUAGGCCAGCCAUCCCCAAGGCCUGCCCCGGGGCACUGUCUUCCCUCCCUCAGGCCUGGCCCAGGGGCACUCUCUUCCCUCCCUCAGGCCUGGCCAGGGCUAGUCAGGCUCCCUUGUCCCCAAAACCUCAAACCAGGAGAGGAAGUGAUCUGGGAGGAUGGAAAGAAGGCCUAGGGCUGGGAGACCCACAGCCACCUGGGAAACAGGUUCCAGCGAGGCCCGCCCCACUGGCCCUUGUCUCACCUGGAGAGCCAGGUGGUUCAGGGCACUUUUGUCCUGAGCCAACCCCUCCAUCAAGGCGGCCAUUGCGGCCAGGGAGUCCCUUUGCUCCACUCCCUCCGACUUCAGCCGCCUCACAAGAAGCUCCAGGUCCGCAUUGCUGCACUCGGCCUGGGGCAGGGAGGGGGAUGCCAGGGAGGGACCUUCAGCUUCCAGGGCAGGGCUGUUGCCGCUGGGAAAGGAGUGAGCCCUGAGCCACGGAGGUGUGCAAGCCAGAGCUCUUGGGCGGACAUGGUGGGAAGGUCGCCACAGUGGGGAGGUCUCAGGGCCAAUGGUGGCUCCAGGCACUAAGGCUCCAGCCAGAGGAGGUGGCUGGUGGUCCAGGGAGAGGCCACAAAGAAGCAGGCGUGGCCAGCAGGGUUGACAGCAGCUGGGCCAGGCUGGUGCCUACUGGUUGGGGACGGGAGAGAACUUUGGUGACUUUGGGAUCUCUGGUGAUGGGCUGAGGGGCCCGGCAGGCAGGAGAGAGGGAGUGGGAGGCCAGCUGUGCUGUGCUCAGUGCCUCCCGGACCGAUGCCAGCUCCUCUCUGAGCCCGGAGACCUUCUCCUCCAGCUGCUGCAGGCGGCCUUGACUGAGGCCCCAGACCAGAGGGCGGGAGGUCGCUCAGGGUGAGCAGUGGCUGCCCCAUGGGAUUUCAGGCAGGCGACCACCUGCAACUCCCUCCAAGCCCAGGGAGGCCCAGGAGGAGCAUGGAGUCCCUGGAGGACCAGGAAGGCAGGGAGCCCUUCGCUUCCAGGCUUCAUUUCCGGGGCAGGGGAGGCACAAGUGCCUCCGGGGGGACGGGAGGGGUGGGGCCCCACAUCUGAUGGGCCCACGGGGUGGUGGCCCAGGUGGGGCACUGGGCCAGAGGAAGUGAGGGUUGGUCUGGAGGAUGGUGCAGCCUGGGGAGAAGCCUGGAGAGCCCCCGCCCCUGCCCUGUUAGGGCCACCACACCCUGAGAUGAGACAGGUGAAAAAGCAGACCCGUGGCCCAAGGCCAAGUGGCUGAUGGUGGCAGAGUGGGGUCUCUUCUGUGGGAGGGGCCCUGCCCACCCAGCCACGGCCGCGCACCUGGUCUCCAGUGCCCUGCAGCUCCGCUCCCUCCGCAGAGCCAGCUCCUCCCUCCGCUCUGCCUGC
rnacentral:lncRNA from 1 species